rnacentral:rRNA from 1 species
UACACUCCUGCGGGAGGCAGCAGUGGGGAAUUUUGGACAAUGGGCGAAAGCCUGAUCCAGCCAUGCCGCGUGCAGGAUGAAGGCCUUCGGGUUGUAAACUGCUUUUGUACGGAACGAAACGGCCUUUUCUAAUAAAGAGGGCUAAUGACGGUACCGUAAGAAUAAGCACCGGCUAACUACGUGCCAGCAGCCGCGGUAAUACGUAGGGUGCAAGCGUUAAUCGGAAUUACUGGGCGUAAAGCGUGCGCAGGCGGUUAUGUAAGACAGUUGUGGAAUCCCCGGGCUCAACCUGGGAACUGCAUCUGUGACUGCAUAGCUAGAGUACGGUAGAGGGGGAUGGAAUUCCGCGUGUAGCAGUGAAAUGCGUAGAUAUGCGGAGGAACACCGAUGGCGAAGGCAAUCCCCUGGACCUGUACUGACGCUCAUGCACGAAAGCGUGGGGAGCAAACAGGAUUAGAAACCCGAGUAGUCCC